rnacentral:rRNA from 1 species
CCAGACUCCUACGGGAGGCAGCAGUGAGGAAUAUUGGUCAAUGGCCGCAGGGCUGAACCAGCCAAGUCGCGUGAGGGAUGACGGUCCUAUGGAUUGUAAACCUCUUUUGUCAGGGAGCAAAGGGCGCCACGUGUGGCGUUUUGCGAGUACCUGAAGAAAAAGCAUCGGCUAACUCCGUGCCAGCAGCCGCGGUAAUACGGAGGAUGCGAGCGUUAUCCGGAUUUAUUGGGUUUAAAGGGUGCGCAGGCGGAAGAUCAAUUCGGCGGUAAAAUUGAGAGGCCCAACCUCUGCGAGCCGUUGAAACUGGUUUUCUUGAGUGAGCGAGAAGUAUGCGGAAUGCGUGGUGUAGCGGUGAAAUGCAUAGAUAUCACGCAGAACUCCGAUUGCGAAGGCAGCAUACCGGCGCUCAACUGACGCUCAUGCACGAAAGUGUGGGUAUCGAACAGGAUUAGAUACCCUCGUAAAC